GAUGAACGCUGGCGGCGUGCUUAACACAUGCAAGUCGAACGGAAAGGCUCCUGCUUGCAGGGGUACUCGAGUGGCGAACGGGUGAGUAACACGUGGGUGAUCUGCCCUGCACUUCGGGAUAAGCCUGGGAAACUGGGUCUAAUACCGGAUAGGACGAUGUUUUGGAUGCCAUUGUGGAAAGUUUUUUCGGUGUGGGGUGAGCUCGCGGCCUAUCAGCUUGUUGGUGGGGUAAUGGCCUACCAAGGCGUCGACGGGUAGCCGGCCUGAGAGGGUGUACGGCCACAUUGGGACUGAGAUACGGCCCAGACUCCUACGGGAGGCAGCAGUGGGGAAUAUUGCACAAUGGGCGCAAGCCUGAUGCAGCGACGCCGCGUGGGGGAUGACGGCCUUCGGGUUGUAAACUCCUUUCGCUAGGGACGAAGCGCAAGUGACGGUACCUGGAGAAGAAGCACCGGCUAACUACGUG
rnacentral:rRNA from 1 species